rnacentral:rRNA from 1 species
GUAGUCAUAUGCUUGUCUCAAAGAUUAAGCCAUGCAUGUCUAAGUAUAAAUCGUUUAUACAGGUGAAACUGCGAAUGGCUCAUUAAAUCAGUUAUAAUUUAUUUGAUAGUACCUUACUACUUGGAUAACCGUGGUAAUUCUAGAGCUAAUACAUGCUAAAGCCUCCGACUUCUGGAAGGGGGUGUAUUUAUUAGAUAAAAAACCAAUAUCGGGAAACCGAUUCCAUUGGUGAUUCAUAAUAACUUUUCGAAUCGUAUGACUUUAUGUCGACGAUGAAUCAUUCAAAUUUCUGCCCUAUCAACUUUCGAUGGUAGGAUAGAGGCCUACCAUGGUGGUAACGGGUAACGGGGUGUUAGGGCACGACACCGGAGAGGGAGCCUGAGAAACGGCUACCACAUCCAAGGAUGGCAGCAGGCGCGCAAAUUACCCAAUCCCGACACGGGGAGGUAGUGACAAUAAAUAACAAUACGGGGUUCUUUAGGAUCUCGUAAUUGGAAUGAGUACAAUUUAAAUCUCUUAACGAGGAACAAUUGGAGGGCAAGUCUGGUGCCAGCAGCCGCGGUAAUUCCAGCUCCAAUAGCGUAUAUUAAAGUUGUUGCAGUUAAAAAGCUCGUAGUUGAAUUUCGGGGUCAGUAGGUUGGUCGUGCCACCGGUACGUACUGGUCUCACUGAUUCCUCCUUCCUGAAGAACCGUAAUGCCAUUAAUUUGGUGUUGCGGGGAAACAGGACUGUUACUUUGAAAAAAUUAGAGUGUUUAAAGCAAGCUAACGCUUGAAUACAUUAGCAUGGAAUAAUGAAAUAGGACGAUCGAUCCUAUUUUGUUGGUUUCUAGGAUUGACGUAAUGAUUAAUAGGGAUAGUUGGGGGCAUUAGUAUUCAAUUGUCAGAGGUGAAAUUCUUGGAUUUAUUGAAGACUAACUACUGCGAAAGCAUUUGCCAAGGAUGUUUUCAUUAAUCAAGAACGAAAGUUAGGGGAUCGAAGACGAUCAGAUACCGUCGUAGUCUUAACCAUAAACUAUGCCGACUAGGGAUCGGAUGAUGUUAAUUUUAUAAUGACUCAUUCGGCGCCUUACGGGAAACCAAAGUGUUUGGGUUCCGGGGGGAGUAUGGUCGCCAAGGCUGAAACUUAAAGGAAUUGACGGAAG